rnacentral:rRNA from 1 species
GACGAAGGGGGCUAGCGUUGUUCGGAAUUACUGGGCGUAAAGCGAGUGUAGGUGGUUUUCCAAGUUGGAUGUGAAAGCCUUGAGCUCAACUCAAGAAAUGCAUUCAGGACUGGGAGACGAGAGGACCGGAGAGGAUAGUGGAAUUCCCAGUGUAGUGGUGAAAUACGUAGAGAUUGGGAAGAACACCAGUGGCGAAGGCGGCUAUCUGGACGGUUUCUGACACUAAGACUCGAAAGCGUGGGGAGCAAACAGG